UUCAGCCAUACCACCAUGAACAACGCUGAACUCGUCUGAUCUCGGAAGCUAAAGCAGGGUUGGGGCUUGGUUAGUACUUGGAU
rnacentral:rRNA from 1 species